UGCCUGGUAGUGGGGGAUAACGUCCGGAAACGGGCGCUAAUACCGCAUACGUCCUGAGGGAGAAAGUGGGGGAUCUUCGGACCUCACGCUAUCAGAUGAGCCUAGGUCGGAUUAGCUAGUUGGUGGGGUAAAGGCCUACCAAGGCGACGAUCCGUAACUGGUCUGAGAGGAUGAUCAGUCACACUGGAACUGAGACACGGUCCAGACUCCUACGGGAGGCAGCAGUGGGGAAUAUUGGACAAUGGGCGAAAGCCUGAUCCAGCCAUGCCGCGUGUGUGAAGAAGGUCUUCGGAUUGUAAAGCACUUUAAGUUGGGAGGAAGGGCAGUAAGUUAAUACCUUGCUGUUUUGACGUUACCAACAGAAUAAGCACCGGCUAACUUCGUGCCAGCAGCCGCGGUAAUACGAAGGGUGCAAGCGUUAAUCGGAAUUACUGGGCGUAAAGCGCGCGUAGGUGGUUCAGCAAGUUGGAUGUGAAAUCCCCGGGCUCAACCUGGGAACUGCAUCCAAAACUACUGAGCUAGAGUACGGUAGAGGGUGGUGGAAUUUCCUGUGUAGCGGUGAAAUGCGUAGAUAUAGGUAGGAACACCAGUGGCGAAGGCGACCACCUGGACUGAUACUGACACUGAGGUGCGAAAGC
rnacentral:rRNA from 1 species